rnacentral:rRNA from 1 species
CCUACGUGUGGCUGCAGUGGGGAAUAUUGGGCAAUGGGCGAAAGCCUGACCCAGCAACGCCGCGUGAGGGAAGAAGGUCUUCGGAUUGUAAACCUCUGUCCUUGGGGACGAAAAAAAUGACGGUACCCAAGGAGGAAGCCCCGGCUAACUACGUGCCAGCAGCCGCGGUAAUACGUAGGGGGCGAGCGUUGUCCGGAAUUACUGGGCGUAAAGGGUGCGUAGGCGGUUUUUUAAGUCAGAUGUGAAAUCCCCGGGCUUAACUCGGGUGGUGCAUUUGAAACUGGGAGGCUAGAGUGCAGGAGAGGGAAGCGGAAUUCCUAGUGUAGCGGUGAAAUGCGUAGAUAUUAGGAGGAACACCAGUGGCGAAGGCGGCUUUCUGGACUGUAACUGACGCUGAGGCACGAAAGCGUGGGGAGCAAACA